rnacentral:rRNA from 1 species
UACGUAGGGGGCAAGCGUUGUCCGGAAUUAUUGGGCGUAAAGCGCGCGCAGGCGGCUGUUUAAGUCUGGUGUUUAAGCCCAGGGCUCAACCUUGGGACGCACUGGAAACUGGAUAGCUUGAGUGCAGGAGAGGGAAGUGGAAUUCCACGUGUAGCGGUGAAAUGCGUAGAGAUGUGGAGGAACACCAGUGGCGAAGGCGACUUUCUGGCCUGUAACUGACGCUGAGGCGCGAAAGCGUGGGGAGCAAACAGG